AGGGGUUGAAUUAGGGCUGAUAACUAACAUAUUUCUCUUUAAAGGGGAUGAUUUAGGCAAAUUAAACAAAGGGCUUGCGAACACACAUGGAGAGCGGUUACACAUUGCAAGUUUAUAUCCUACAUAUCUUGCCUACUUAAUCUUCCCUAAAUAUGAUAAAUUCUGAAUACCUAACAAUUUAUUAUAGAUGCUUGCACAAAGCUGAUUAGCAUUUGUUGGCUAUAUGACGAUAUCAUAUGACAAAGGAGAAGAACUGUUCCUUGCAAAAGCAUUGCAUAUUGCUAACCAAAAUAUGCAACAUAAUUUGAAUUAUCUGACAAAAAGAACUUGUUUCAAAGUAAACAACAUAAGAUCUUCCUCUGAACUUACUAGAGUGUCACCAGUGAAAACUGCUGGAU
rnacentral:misc_RNA from 1 species